rnacentral:rRNA from 1 species
CCCUUAGAUGUUCUGGGCCGCACGCGCGCUACACUGACGAAUGCAACGAGCUUAUAACCUUGGCCGAAAGGUCUGGGUAAUCUCCAAAUUUCGUCGUGAUGGGGAUAGAUUAUUGCAAUUAUUAAUCUUCAACGAGGAAUGCCUAGUAAGCGCAAGUCAUCAGCUUGCGUUGAUUACGUCCCUGCCCUUUGUACACACCGCCCGUCGCUCCUACCGAUUGAAUGGUCCGGUGAAGCGUUCGGACCGUGGUCUUUGGACGGUUCGCCGUCUGUUGGCUGCGGGAAGUUCGUUAAACCUUAUCAUUUAGAGGAAGGAGAAGUCGUAACA